GAGCGAGAGAGAGACAGACAGAGAGAGAGAGAUAAAACUCAUAAGCCUUGACACCUUUAUAGAAAUCGGUGAUUCUCAAGAAUGAAAAUGCAUUUUUACUUUGGCUUAUUUGUUAGUGGGCUGUAAGGUCUCAUCAGAAACAUUGCUCUGCAUUCUUCUUCUUAUCAUGCUUUAUUAAAUAAUAUUAUACAUAUCCAUCAGAGACUAUAAACUUUGGGAUUUAAUAGACUACAGUGAAAUUAAUUAUCUUCUCUCUCUUUUUCAGUGUCGAUUGCCGUCUUAUUGUUUAGCUACAUACACCACAACGGCUCUUUUAAGAGCCACAUCUUGAGAACGUCUUUGACUUUCAGCUACAUACACCACAACGGCUCUUUUAAGAGCCACAUCUUGAGAACAUCUUUGACUUUGUAAGUAUAUAUUUUAAAUGACCACUCAGUAUUUGGGUUUAGAUCAAUUACAACAUCAUGCAGCAUGUUAGUAAUGUCUUAAUGAAGACAUUAAAGAGAUUCUUACAUACAUAAAUACUAGCAUCCUGCUAGUCUCUGAUCUCUGAUUUGCCAGUUUCAUCAUAACAAUUGAUUUUUGAUACCAGGAAUUCACAUUUUUAAACGGAUAGUUCACCCAAAAAUGUUAAAUCUGUCAUUAAUUACUCAACCUCCACGUCAUUUCUAUUUUCGAAACACAAAUUAAGAAACAACACACGGCUGGCCCUCUACCUGAAUGUUUUCAUGGAUCUUCACAGUACAAAGAAAUAAAAACCUGCUCUUACACUCUUAAACUGGACCAGGCCAACAGUUAUGUUUACAUUGAUGGGAAAGUUGCAAAGCUGCAAAAUAUAAUUUCAGCGAAGGAUGACAUUUACGUGGCCUACACUACCUUCAACAAUCAUGAACCUUUUUUUGAUUAUCCCCUUCCAUCCUCAGAGCUUGGUAUUCAUCUAGU